rnacentral:rRNA from 1 species
GUACGGGGGGAGCAAGCGUUGUUCGGAUUUACUGGGCGUAAAGGGCGCGUAGGCGGCCACCGCAAGUCGACUGUGAAAUCUCCGGGCUUAACCCGGAAAGGUCAGCCGAUACUGCGGGGCUAGAGUGCAGAAGGGGCAACUGGAAUUCUCGGUGUAGCGGUGAAAUGCGUAGAUAUCGAGAGGAACACCUGCGGCGAAGGUGGGUUGCUGGGCUGACACUGACGCUGAUGCGCGAAAGCUAGGGGAGCGAACGGG